rnacentral:rRNA from 1 species
ACGGGUGAGUAACACGUGGGUAACCUACCCAUCAGAGGGGGAUAACACUUGGAAACAGGUGCUAAUACCGCAUAACAGUUUAUGCCGCAUGGCAUAAGAGUGAAAGGCGCUUUCGGGUGUCGCUGAUGGAUGGACCCGCGGUGCAUUAGCUAGUUGGUGAGGUAACGGCUCACCAAGGCCACGAUGCAUAGCCGACCUGAGAGGGUGAUCGGCCACACUGGGACUGAGACACGGCCCAGACUCCUACGGGAGGCAGCAGUAGGGAAUCUUCGGCAAUGGACGAAAGUCUGACCGAGCAACGCCGCGUGAGUGAAGAAGGUUUUCGGAUCGUAAAACUCUGUUGUUAGAGAAGAACAAGGACGUUAGUAACUGAACGUCCCCUGACGGUAUCUAACCAGAAAGCCACGGCUAACUACGUGCCAGCAGCCGCGGUAAUACGUAGGUGGCAAGCGUUGUCCGGAUUUAUUGGGCGUAAAGUCGAACGCAGAAAGUCCACGGCUAACUACGUGCCAGCAGCCGCGGUAAUACGUAGGUGGCAAGCGUUGUCCGGAUUUAUUGGGCGUAAAGCGAGCGCAGGCGGUUUCUUAAGUCUGAUGUGAAAGCCCCCGGCUCAACCGGGGAGGGUCAUUGGAAACUGGGAGACUUGAGUGCAGAAGAGGAGAGUGGAAUUCCAUGUGUAGCGGUGAAAUGCGUAGAUAUAUGGAGGAACACCAGUGGCGAAGGCGGCUCUCUGGUCUGUAACUGACGCUGAGGCUCGAAAAGCGUGGGGAGCAAACAGGAUUAGAUACCCCUGGUAGUCCACGCCGCAAACGAUGAGUGCUAAGUGUUGGAGGGUUUCCGCCCUCUCAGUGCUGCAGCAAACACAUUAAGCACUCCGCCUGGGGAGUACGACCGCAAGGUUGAAACUUAAAGGAUUUGCGGGGGCACGCAAACCCAUUAGAGCACUCCGCCUGGGGAGUACCAAACACGCAAAGUUGAAACGUCAACAGGAAUCUGACGGGGGCCCGCACAAGCGGUGGAGCAUGUGGUUUAAUUCGAAGCAACGCGAAGAACCUUACCAGGUCUUGACAUCCUUUGACCACUCUAGAGAUAGAGCUUUCCCUUCGGGGACAAAGUGACAGGUGGUGCAUGGUUGUCGUCAGCUCGUGUCGUGAGAUGUUGGGUUAAGUCCCGCAACGAGCGCAACCCUUAUUGUUAGUUGCCAUCAUUUAGUUGGGCACUCUAGCGAGACUGCCGGUGACAAACCGGAGGAAGGUGGGGAUGACGUCAAAUCAUCAUGCCCCUUAUGACCUGGGCUACACACGUGCUACAAUGGGAAGUACAACGAGUCGCUAGACCGCGAGGUCAUGCAAAUCUCUUAAAGCUUCUCUCAGUUCGGAUUGCAGGCUGCAACUCGCCUGCAUGAAGCCGGAAUCGCUAGUAAUCGCGGAUCAGCACGCCGCGGUGAAUACGUUCCCGGGCCUUGUACACACCGCCCGUCACACCACGAGAGUUUGUAACACC